GUAGUCAUAUGCUUGUCUCAAAGAUUAAGCCAUGCAUGUCUAAGUAUAAGCAAUCUAUACAGUGAAACUGCGAAUGGCUCAUUAAAUCAGUUAUCGUUUAUUUGAUAGUACCUUACUACUUGGAUAACCGUGGUAAUUCUAGAGCUAAUACAUGCUAAAAAUCCCGACCCCUGGAAGGGAUGUAUUUAUUAGGUAAAAAACCAAUGCCUUCGGGCUCCUUGGUGAUUCAUGAUAACUUAACGAAUCGCAUGGCCUUGCGCCGGCGAUGGUUCAUUCAAAUUUCUGCCCUAUCAACUUUCGAUGGUAGGAUAGUGGCCUACCAUGGUUUCAACGGGUAACGGGGAAU
rnacentral:rRNA from 1 species